rnacentral:rRNA from 1 species
UAGGGAAUUUUCCACAAUGGACGAAAGUCUGAUGGAGCAACGCCGCGUGUGCGAAGAAGGUUUUCGGAUUGUAAAGCACUGUUGUAAGGGAAGAAUAAGGCAAACAGGAAAUGGGUUAUUGCGGACGGCACCUUACCAGAAAGCCACGGAUAACGACGGGCCAGCACCCGCGGAAAUACUAAGGGGGCAAGCGUGGACGUAGAUGUUUGGGCGAAAAAGGCGUGGAGGAGGUAGAAUAAACCUGAGGGG